AGAAUCAACGCUGGCGGCGUGCCUCAGACAUGCAAGUCGAACGCGAAAGUCCCCUUCGGGGGACAAGUAGAGUGGCGCACGGGUGAGUAACACGUAGGUAAUCUACCUUCGGGUGGGGAAUAACAAUCGGAAACGGUUGCUAAUACCGCAUAAUGCAGCGGCACCUAAUGGUGACAGUUGUUAAAGCGGGGGAUCGCAAGAUCUCGCGCCUGAAGAGGAGCCUGCGGCGGAUUAGCUAGUUGGUAGGUAAUGGCCUACCGAAGGCGACGAUCCGUA
rnacentral:rRNA from 1 species